UCCCCAUCUGACAACCCUAAACAGGUACUGUAGUCUCCCCAUCUGACAACCCUAAACAGGUACUGUAGUCUCCCCAUCUGACAACCCUAAACAGGUACUGUAGUCUCCCCAUCUGACAACCCUAACAGGUACUGUAGUCUCCCCAUCUGACAACCCUAACAGGUACUGUAGUCUCCCCAUCUGACAACCCUAAACAGGUACUGUAGUCUCCCCAUCUGACAACCCUAACAGGUACUGUAGUCUCCCCAUCUGACAACCCUAACAGGUACUGUAGUCUCCCCAUCUGACAACCCUAAACAGGUACUGUAGGCUCCCCAUCUGACAACCCUAAACAGGUACUGUAGUCUCCCCAUCUGACAACCCUAACAGGUACUGUAGGCUCCCCAUCUGACAACCCUAAACAGGUACUGUAGUCUCCCCAUCUGACAACCCUAACAGGUACUGUAGUCUCCCCAUCUGACAACCCUAAACAGGUACUGUAGUCUCCCCAUCUGACAACCCUAAACAGGUACUGUAGUCUCCCCAUCUGACAACCCUAAACAGGUACUGUAGUCUCCCCAUCUGACAACCCUAAACAGGUACUGUAGUCUCCCCAUCUGACAACCCUAAACAGGUACUGUAGUCUCCCCAUCUGACAACCCUAACAGGUACUGUAGUCUCCCCAUCUGACAACCCUAACAGGUACUGUAGUCUCCCCAUCUGACAACCCUAACAGGUACUGUAGUCUCCCCAUCUGACAACCCUAACAGGUACUGUAGUCUCCCCAUCUGACAACCCUAAACAGGUACUGUAGUCUCCCCAUCUGACAACCCUAACAGGUACUGUAGUCUCCCCAUCUGACAACCCUAACAGGUACUGUAGUCUCCCCAUCUGACAACCCUAAACAGGUACUGUAGGCUCCCCAUCUGACAACCCUAAACAGGUACUGUAGUCUCCCCAUCUGACAACCCUAACAGGUACUGUAGGCUCCCCAUCUGACAACCCUAAACAGGUACUGUAGUCUCCCCAUCUGACAACCCUAACAGGUACUGUAGUCUCCCCAUCUGACAACCCUAAACAGGUACUGUAGUCUCCCCAUCUGACAACCCUAAACAGGUACUGUAGUCUCCCCAUCUGACAACCCUAAACAGGUACUGUAGUCUCCCCAUCUGACAACCCUAAACAGGUACUGUAGUCUCCCCAUCUGACAACCCUAAACAGGUACUGUAGUCUCCCCAUCUGACAACCCUAAACAGGUACUGUAGUCUCCCCAUCUGACAACCCUAAACAGGUACUGUAGUCUCCCCAUCUGACAACCCUAACAGGUACUGUAGUCUCCCCAUCUGACAACCCUAACAGGUACUGUAGUCUCCCCAUCUGACAACCCUAACAGGUACUGUAGUCUCCCCAUCUGACAACCCUAAACAGGUACUGUAGUCUCCCCAUCUGACAACCCUAAACAGGUACUGUAGUCUCCCCAUCUGACAACCCUAAACAGGUACUGUAGUCUCCCCAUCUGACAACCCUAAACAGGUACUGUAGUCUCCCCAUCUGACAACCCUAAACAGGUACUGUAGGCUCCCCAUCUGACAACCCUAAACAGGUACUGUAGUCUCCCCAUCUGACAACCCUAAACAGGUACUGUAGUCUCCCCAUCUGACAACCCUAAACAGGUACUGUAGUCUCCCCAUCUGACAACCCUAAACAGGUACUGUAGUCUCCCCAUCUGACAACCCUAAACAGGUACUGUAGUCUCCCCAUCUGACAACCCUAAACAGGUACUGUAGUCUCCCCAUCUGACAACCCUAAACAGGUACUGUAGUCUCCCCAUCUGACAACCCUAAACAGGUACUGUAGUCUCCCCAUCUGACAACCCUAAACAGGUACUGUAGUCUCCCCAUCUGACAACCCUAAACAGGUACUGUAGUCUCCCCAUCUGACAACCCUAAACAGGUACUGUAGUCUCCCCAUCUGACAACCCUAAACAGGUACUGUAGUCUCCCCAUCUGACAACCCUAAACAGGUACUGUAGUCUCCCCAUCUGACAACCCUAAACAGGUACUGUAGUCUCCCCAUCUGACAACCCUAAACAGGUACUGUAGUCUCCCCAUCUGACAACCCUAACAGGUACUGUAGACUCCCCUAAACAGGUACUGUAGUCUCCCCAUCUGACAACCCUAAACAGGCUCCCCAUCUGACAACCCUAACAGGUACUGUAGUCUCCCCAUCUGACAACCCUAAACAGGUACUGUAGACUCCCCAUCUGACAACCCUAAACAGGUACUGUAGUCUCCCCAUCUGACAACCCUAAACAGGUACUGUAGUCUCCCCAUCUGACAACCCUAAACAGGUACUGUAGUCUCCCCAUCUGACAACCCUAAACAGGUACUGUAGUCUCCCCAUCUGACAACCCUAAACAGGUACUGUAGUCUCCCCAUCUGACAACCCUAAACAGGUACUGUAGUCUCCCCAUCUGACAACCCUAAACAGGCCCCCCAUCUGACAACCCUAACAGGCUCCCCAUCUGACAACCCUAACAGGCUCCCCAUCUGACAACCCUAAACAGGCUCCCCAUCUGACAACCCUAACAGGUACUGUAGUCUCCCCAUCUGACAACCCUAAACAGGUACUGUAGUCUCCCCAUCUGACAACCCUAAACAGGUACUGUAGACUCCCCUAAACAGGUACUGUAGUCUCCCCAUCUGACAACCCUAAACAGGCUCCCCAUCUGACAACCCUAACAGGUACUGUAGUCUCCCCAUCUGACAACCCUAAACAGGUACUGUAGACUCCCCAUCUGACAACCCUAAACAGGUACUGUAGGCUCCCCAUCUGACAACCCUAAACAGGUACUGUAGUCUCCCCAUCUGACAACCCUAAACAGGCUCCCCAUCUGACAACCCUAACAGGUACUGUAGGCUCCCCAUCUGACAACCCUAAACAGGUACUGUAGACUCCCCAUCUGACAACCCUAAACAGGUACUGUAGGCUCCCCAUCUGACAACCCUAAACAGGUACUGUAGACUCCCCAUCUGACAACCCUAAACAGGUACUGUAGUCUCCCCAUCUGACAACCCUAACAGGUACUGUAGUCUCCCCAUCUGACAACCCUAACAGGUACUGUAGUCUCCCCAUCUGACAACCCUAACAGGUACUGUAGUCUCCCCAUCUGACAACCCUAACAGGUACUGUAGUCUCCCCAUCUGACAACCCUAACAGGUACUGUAGGCCCCCCAUCUGACAACCCUAACAGGUACUGUAGUCUCCCCAUCUGACAACCCUAACAGGUACUGUAGUCUCCCCAUCUGACAACCCUAACAGGUACUGUAGUCUCCCCAUCUGACAACCCUAACAGGUACUGUAGUCUCCCCAUCUGACAACCCUAACAGGUACUGUAGUCUCCCCAUCUGACAACCCUAAACAGGUAAUGUAGUCUCCCCAUCUGACAACCCUAACAGGUACUGUAGACUCCCCAUCUGACAACCCUAAACAGGUACUGUAGUCUCCCCAUCUGACAACCCUAAACAGGUACUGUAGGCUCCCCAUCUGACAACCCUAACAGGUACUGUAGUCUCCCCAUCUGACAACCCUAAACAGGUACUGUAGUCUCCCCAUCUGACAACCCUAACAGGUACUGUAGUCUCCCCAUCUGACAACCCUAACAGGUACUGUAGUCUCCCCAUCUGACAACCCUAACAGGUACUGUAGUCUCCCCAUCUGACAACCCUAACAGGUACUGUAGGCUCCCCAUCUGACAACCCUAACAGGUACUGUAGUCUCCCCAUCUGACAACCCUAAACAGGUAAUGUAGUCUCCCCAUCUGACAACCCUAACAGGUACUGUAGACUCCCCAUCUGACAACCCUAAACAGGUACUGUAGUCUCCCCAUCUGACAACCCUAAACAGGUACUGUAGGCUCCCCAUCUGACAACCCUAACAGGUACUGUAGUCUCCCCAUCUGACAACCCUAAACAGGUACUGUAGUCUCCCCAUCUGACAACCCUAACAGGUACUGUAGUCUCCCCAUCUGACAACCCUAAACAGGUACUGUAGUCUCCCCAUCUGACAACCCUAACAGGUACUGUAGUCUCCCCAUCUGACAACCCUAAACAGGUACUGUAGGCUCCCCAUCUGACAACCCUAAACAGGUACUGUAGGCUCCCCAUUUGGGGUGAGUUUCCCAAUAACUAUUCAAACACAAAAGAAACACACAAAGAUAAUGUUUAGCAAUAGUAGCCUUCAGUCCGUUGGGAGACAGUGGACGAAUGAUGAUCAUAGUUUAAAGUCACUAAGGUCUAAUAAUCCCUGGAAUGUGACCGUUGCAAGCCGCCAUGUCUUCUUGUUCCUCUU